rnacentral:rRNA from 1 species
UACGUAGGGAGCAAGCGUUGUCCGGAAUCAUUGGGCGUAAAGCGCGCGUAGGUGGCUUCGUAAGUCCGUUGUGAAAGUCAAAGGCUCAACCUUUGAAAGCCGAUGGAUACUGUGAAGCUAGAGUACGGAAGAGGCGAGUGGAAUUCCUGGUGUAGCGGUGAAAUGCGCAGAUAUCAGGAGGAACACCGAUGGCGAAGGCAGGUCUCUGGGCCAUAACUGACGCUGAGAAGCGAAAAGCAUGGGGAGCGAACAGG